GACGAACGCUGGCGGCGUGCUUAACACAUGCAAGUCGAGCGGUAAGGCCCUUUCGGGGGUACACGAGCGGCGAACGGGUGAGUAACACGUGAGCAACCUGCCCUUCUCUUUGGAAUAAGCGUUGGAAACGACGUCUAAUGCCGAAUAUGACCCCCUGUCGCAUGGUGGGGGGUGGAAAGCUCUGGCGGAGAAGGAUGGGCUCGCGGCCUAUCAGCUUGUUGGUGUGGGUAAUGGCCCACCAAGGCGACGACGGGUAGCCGGCCUGAGAGGGUGACCGGCCACACUGGGACUGAGACACGGCCCAGACUCCUACGGGAGGCAGCAGUGGGGAAUAUUGGACAAUGGGCGAAAGCCUGAUCCAGCAACGCCGCGUGAGGGAUGACGGCCUUCGGGUUGUAAACCUCUUUCAGCAGGGACGAAGCGAGAGUGACGGUACCUGCAGAAGAAGGACCGGCCAACUACGUGCCAGCCGCCGCGGUAA
rnacentral:rRNA from 1 species